AGCAGACUGAACGUGUGCUCAGCGUUCACACAUCCAUAAGGACCUUUGAAGGACAUUAUUGCUUAUGAGUGAGUCGCGGGGCGAACAUGCAAACUCCACACAGGCAGGGCCGGGAUCGAACCCGGGUCCUCAGAACUGUGAGGCCAACUCUUUAACAUCUGAUCCACUGUGCCGCCUAGCGAAAAAUGCUGUCACUUUGUGACCUUCGGAUUAAAUCCAGGAGCAACUGGCAAGUGCACAGUGCGCAGGCGGCCAACAGAGCUGUGUGACGCUGCAUUUUGAACGAGCUGGGGGAUUGAGAGGGACGCCUGAUUGACAUGCAAAGAUUAAGGCCUUUUGUGGAUCAUGAUUCCUUCAGUGCUGCUUCUUCUGGUGUGCACGACUUGGCCACUGGGGGCAGUAUAAAAGUCAUGCAUACAAAGAAGAAGAAUUGCACCACUCGAAUUCUGACUCGAUGAGGUGACAUAAGAGGGGGAAUAAGGGA